UACGGAGGGUGCAAGCGUUGUCCGGAUUUACUGGGCGUAAAGAGCGCGCAGGCGGUCGUACAAGUCGCGUGUGAAAGCCCCCGGCUCAACUGGGGAGGGUCAUGCGAUACUGUUCGACUCGAAGGCAGGAGAGGGAAGCAGAAUUCCCGGUGUAGUGGUGAAAUGCGUAGAUAUCGGGAGGAAUACCAGUGGCGAAGGCGGCUUCCUGGCCUGUUCUUGACGCUGAGGCGCGAAAGCUAGGGUAGCAAACGGG
rnacentral:rRNA from 1 species